AUUGAACGCUGGCGGCAGGCCUAACACCUGCAAGUCGAACGAGUGGCGGACGGGUGAGUAAUGUCUGGGAAACUGCCCGAUGGAGGGGGAUAACUACUGGAAACGGUAGCUAAUACCGCAUACCCUCGGAUGUGCCCAGAUGGGAUUGGCUAGUAGGUGGGGUAAAGGCUCAACUAGGCGACGAUCCCUAGCUGGGCUGAGAGGAUGACCAGCCAAACUGGAACUGAGACACGGGCCAGACUCCUACGGGAGGCAGCAGUGGGGAAUAUUGCACAAUGGGCGCAAGCCUGAUGCAGCCAUGCCGCGUGUAUGAAGAAGGCCGUCGGGUUGUAAAGUACUUGCAGCGAGGAGGCGUUACUCGCAGAAGAAGCACCGGCUAACUCCGUGCCAGCAGCCGCGGUAAUAC
rnacentral:rRNA from 1 species